rnacentral:lncRNA from 1 species
GGCCUUAUUAAGAGAUUGGAGGGUGCAAGUUGUUAUGCACUGUCUGUAUAUAAUUUGGAUAUGCUGUAAUGAGAAAUUCUUUGUGCACCAUACGCGGUGCGGAACACGCACAUCAUGUGUAGUGAUUAGCUCACGUGCGGGACCGAAUGGUGGUGCAAAAAAAAAAAAAUUUUUUUUAUCCGGUCUCGUGUACGAGCCAAUCACCAUGCACAGUGUAUAAAAAAUUACUCAUGCAGUAAUAUGCAAAUGGCC